AACCUGCGGAAGGAUCAUUGUCGAAAUCGAACGUAAGAACGACCCGCGAACAGUCUUUGCGUAACGAACCGAGCUCGCGAGCACCUAACGCUCGCGCGUCUCGCGUCGCGUCGGCGCGGGCCUCCUCGAGAGGGCCGCGCCGCACCGACAAACUAACAAUGUCAGCACGGAUCGUGCCAAGGAGCUGUAUAGGCGAGAAUCGCCGUCCCACGCCCCCGGUCCCCCUCGACGGGGGGCGGGGGACAUGCGCGAUCUCUGCUCUUAGUCUUAAUGACUCUCGGCAACGGAUAUCUCGGCUCUUGCAUCGAUGAAGAACGUAGCGAAAUGCGAUACUUGGUGUGAAUUGCAGAAUCCCGCGAACCAUCAAUUCUUUGAACGCAAGUUGCGCCCGAAGCCAUUCGGCCGAGGGCACGCCUGCCUGGGUGUCGUGAAUCCCCUUGCCCCCGGGCACCCGCACGAGCAUCGUCGCGGAUAUGUCCGGGCGCAGAAUAUGGUCUCCCGUCGGGUCGGCGUGCGCGGCACGUCGCGGGGCGGUUGGCCGAAAAUCGAGCAUUGCGGCGUCGGGCCCCACGGCGUUCGGUGGAUCGAACGCGAUUGGCUGCGCCGUGGUCCCGUCAUAUGCCGCGGUCUCCGGGCUACGACGACUCCCGAGUGCGAUCCCAGGUCAGGCGGGGCUACCCGCUGAGUUUAAGCAUAUCAAUAAGCGGAGGAAAAGAAACUAACGAGGAUUCCCUUAGUAGCGGCGAGCGAACCGGGACGUGCCCAGCGUGAAAAUCGUCCGCCUUCGGCGGCCGAAUUGUAGUCUGGAGAAGCGUCCUCAGUGACGGACCGGGCCCAAGUUCACUGGAAGGUGGCGCCGGAGAGGGUGAGAG
rnacentral:rRNA from 1 species